GACGAACGCUGGCGGCGUGCUUAACACAUGCAAGUCGAACGGAAAGGCCCUGCUUUUGUGGGGUGCUCGAGUGGCGAACGGGUGAGUAACACGUGAGUAACCUGCCCUUGACUUUGGGAUAACUUCAGGAAACUGGGGCUAAUACCGGAUAGGAGCUCCUGCUGCAUGGUGGGGGUUGGAAAGUUUCGGCGGUUGGGGAUGGACUCGCGGCUUAUCAGCUUGUUGGUGGGGUAGUGGCUUACCAAGGCUUUGACGGGUAGCCGGCCUGAGAGGGUGACCGGCCACAUUGGGACUGAACUACGGCCCAGACUCCUACGGGAGGCAGCAGUGGGGAAUAUUGCACAAGGGGCGGAAGCCUGAUGCAGCAACGCCGCGUGCGGGAUGACGGCCUUCGGGUUGUAAACCGCUUUCGCCUGUGACGAAGCGUGAGUGACGGUAAUGGGUAAAGAAGCACCGGCUAACUACGUG
rnacentral:rRNA from 1 species